rnacentral:rRNA from 1 species
GUGGCCCCAAGUCAGGCGGGGCCACCCACCGAGUUUAAG